rnacentral:rRNA from 1 species
UACAGAGGUCUCAAGCGUUGUUCGGAUUCAUUGGGCGUAAAGGGUGCGUAGGCGGCGCGGUAAGUCGGAUGUGAAAGCUCGGGGCUCAACCCCGAGUCGGCCGUGCGAACUGCUGGGCUCGAGCACUGUAGAGGCAGGCGGAAUUCCGGGUGUAGCGGUGGAAUGCGUAGAGAUCCGGAAGAACACCGGUGGCGAAGGCGGCCUGCUGGGCAGUGGCUGACACUGCGGCGCGACAGCGUGGGGAGCAAACAGG